ensembl:lncRNA LINC00632 long intergenic non-protein coding RNA 632
GCUGCUGUUUGCCCCCACUCCUUCAGUGCGACAGACAGCCUCAGAGCUGGUGGGGAGACAGCAUGCCACUGGAAAAAUUCGUAGACAUGGAAUUCCUGGAUCAAAUGGUAUGAAACAAUUUAAGGUUUCUUCCCCCCAACACCUAUCACCUAAUUUAUUUAUUAUAUGUGGUAUAAACAUUAUUUUCCAGCCAUUGUUUUCCUAUUAAUUUUUACCAUUUAUGGUGGUGAUUUUUUGAUAUUUUACAGUUUUACAUGUUAGAUUUCCAUAUCUGACCAUUUUAAGUGUUGUGAUUUUUUUCUUUCCUUUGAUUAGUGUAUUCACCUGUAUUUUUUUCUAGUUAUUUAAUUGCUUCAUUUUUUACAAUUAACUCCUUAAUCCACCUAGAAUUCAUUUUGAUAUAUGGUAUACAGUAGGAUUUAAUUUUUUUUCCCCCUAAUAGGUCACCGAUUGUUUCAGCAUCACUUAUUGAAUAAUCCAACGCAACAACUGUUCUUCCAUUAGAUAGGGUGUAGCUUUCCACAGGUCGGCCAUUUUCUCUUUACCCAAGAUGGUUACAUUUUGCAAUGGUACUCCUACCUUCCUGCAGCUUCUGACAGCAUACUAGAGCACCAUGUUUGUGCUUGUGCGUUUCAAAAAUCCUAGGCACAUGCAGAUUAGGGCAGUAUUUUAAACAGGAUUUUUUUUUUCAUUUUAAAUAUGUUAAGUUUGUCACAUUCUUGUUGCAAAUUAAAAUUAAGGAAUCCAAAUAUAUGAAACCACGGUUUCAGGUGUGCUAUUCCUCUUAGGCGCACCUGAUAUCCCAAUUGUGUGUUAAAAAAAAAAAUACCCCCGGGGUUAAAGUUCCUCCUUCAACCUCUUUUUUUUUUUUUUUUUUACUCUUCAGAUACUCAAAGAGUUAAAGUUGGCUCGACUCAGUUCUUGGAAUUUUCUAGAAUGAUAUAAGAGGGAAAUACAAGAAAUGUAUGAGGAGUAGAAGUAAAUAAUGUUUGCCAGCCUGUUGCUGGCCGUAGUCUCAUGUAGGGAUUUAAAGGAGCUAGGGUGAGUCCUAACCCAUGCCACCACUGCCACUACCUCUUCUAGAUAGGGACACACCCCAGUGAGCCACCUCUUUUCACUGCAGGUGUAAGGCUCAAGACAUAAGGCAAGGAGUUUUUUAGUAGGAGAUGGGUUAAAUAUUGCCCAGAGAAAUCUGACAAUUAAAAUCACUUGCUACCUAUUACCAACCCUCUCCCGGGCCCCCAACGAAGCUUUCUCUCUCUAUUGACUUCUGCACCGGGCCUCUUAGCUUUACUGAUUCUGGGGGGGAAAAAAAAGGGCGGGGGGAGGAUGGCGCGUGAGUGGGAGGCUGCCUUGCCUGCGGUUAUUGCAAGGGGCUCCUUUGGCUCACAGCCUCAGUCCCAGUAGUUUCCUGACUUGCCGCAUUAGACUGUGUUUUGUUUAUGAGGAGGCUGGUUUCCCUGGCAAUGGCAGCUCGCCAGUGCAUGCGCAUUUGCUCCACUGCAGUAGCAGAAUGCGGCUGUGGGGCCAGGGGAGGGGUCCUGAGGGCCGCAGUGGCUGGAGUUAUUUGGCAGACAUGACGUCAGUUUUUCUGAGCUAAACUGCCAUCGUUACUGUAUAUGGAGCAUUUUUUUUUUUUUAAAUAAAGCUUGGAAGGCUUUUAGCCACUCCUUUUCUUUCCUCCCAAAUUAACUGCUCUCUAUAUGCUCACCAGUGACCACGAAGGCUUUCUAAGGUUUGAGGCCACCGAUGCCCUCAGGGCCCCGAGGGGAAUCAUAAUAGUAUGAGAACAGGAAACAGACUGCCUGGUUUCAGACCUCGGCUGCUUGCUAGUUGCAUGACUGUGGGACGGGUUACUUAAAUCUCUUCGUUUCCUCAGAUGUAAAAUGGGGAUGCUAACAGCAUGUUUAGAACAGUGUCUGGCACAUAGUAACCAUUAUGUAAGUGUUGUCUAUUAUUAUUUGUAGAUACUAAGGGGGACUUGCCUGGAAGCAGACUUGUGUCCGCAGUAUACAAACUCACCCUUUAAUGCACACACUGACCAGAUAACACAAACACAUUUACCCCCACAGCACCUAGACUCUUCUCACAGUACACACACUUGCCUUCCAGUACACAGACAUAUCCAAAGGCACACCGACAAGCACCACAGCAAAAAGAUGUUCCCCAGAACACAUGGACACCCCAAUCCCCGUAUCAUUAGACUCUCCCAGAGGCACGUAUGUACUGCUUAAUGCAGAGACUCACCUGAGGCACACUGAUGCACCCCGCAUGACACAGACUUGCCCCCCCAUAAGGACUCUACUAUGACACACAGACAAUCCCAACAUCACACACUGUUCCCACAUCACACGAACCCAUUUUAGGAAACACACAGCAUACAGACUUACCCCAUAGAACACGGCUUCCCCGACAAGCACACAUACUCUCAAGGCCAGUAGACUCACCCCACAGCACACAGACUUUCUCUAGAGUGUACAGCUUCUUCCCACAGCAAACAGACUCUCCCCAGGGCACACAGACACCCCUGACAUCACAUACUCUCACCACAGACCAUAGACUCGUCCUAGAGCACAGGGACUCUUGCCAAUGAAACAGACUUUCCCGAGAAUAGACUCAUGAGACAGCUUGAAGACCCGCAUCAUGACACAAAGACUCUCCCACAACAGACAGACUCACCCCAUUGUGUACAGACAAGCACCAUAGGCCACAGACCAUCACCUCAGGACACAGACUUGCCCAGCACCACACAGACACUCUGCAGAGCACGUAGAGUCACCCCGCAAAGCACAGACUAAACCCAUACUACAGAGACUCUCCCUAUAGCUUUCAGACAAGUUUACCCCACCACAGAGACAUGCAACGGUACAUCUUACAACAUAUAUCACUCCUUGAUGCACACAAUUGUGCCACAGCACACAAACUUGUCCUACAGUGCACAAAUUCAUGUCACAAAAGACACACUCACCACACAAUACAAAUACUUGCUCCAGCCGGACGCGGUGGCUCACGCCUGUUAUCCCAGCACUUUGGGAGGCCUAGGCAGGUGGAUCACCUGACGUUGGGAGUUCGAGACCAGUCUCACCAACAUGGAGAAACCCCGUCUCCACUAAAAAUACAAAAUUAGCCGGGCAUGGUGGUGCAUGCCUGUAAUCUCAGCUGCUCCGGAGGCUGAGGCAGGAGAAUCGCUUGAACCCAAGAGGCGGAGGUUGCAGUGAGCCAAGAUUGUGCCACUGCACUCCAGCCUGGGCAACAAGGGCAAAACUUUGCCUCAAAAAAAAUAAAAAAAUAAAAAAAAAAACAACCCAGCAACAAAAACAAACAAAAAAAAACAAUUACUUGCUCCAGAGUUCACUCAUUUGCCCUAAAAUAUCUAGACCUUACCCCAGAGUUACCACACAAUGCAUGCUGUGUCCCUGCAUCACCAAAAUACAACUCAAACUCCUCAGACACACUCUGAUAAAUAGACAUACCUGACAAUGUACAGCUUGGCAUCAUAGCAGGAAAAACUGGCUCUACAACAGAUUUAUUCUACAACAGACACACUCAGGCUGUAGAGACACCUAAUCUUUCUUUAAGGUAUUCAGACCCACCCUUUUGGGCACAGUCACAGAUGUGAUCCAGGAUACCCUCACCCAUCCCACAAUACUGAUGCAACCCACAGCGUACAAACACAUCCCACAGCAUAACACUCUAAGCCCACAGUGCUCAGAAAUGUCAGGCACACAUUUGCCAUACAGAUUUACUUCACACACAAAAAACACAGCCAGGUGGGUGGCUCAUGCCUGUAAUCCCAGCACUUUGGGAGUCCGAGGCGGGCGGAUCACAAGGUCAGGGGUUCAGGACCAGCCUGUCCAACAUGGUGAAACCCCGUCUCUACUAAAAAUACAAAAAAAUUAGCCGGGCAUGGUGGCACAUGCUUGUAGUCCCAGCUACUCGGGAGGCUGAGGCAGGAGAAUCACUUGAACCCAGGAGGUGGAGGUUGCAGUGAGCCGAGAUCAUGCCAUUGCACUCCACCUUGGGCAACAGAGUGAGACUUCGUCUAAAAAAAAAAGAAAGAAAGAAAGAAACAAACAAGAAAACAACAACAAAAAACACUUCUUAUAGUGCCUAUACAAUGCAAACAUGUAUCCCAAAAUAUAUGAAACUAUUUGCUAUGUCACUCUUAGGUUUACCCCAAAGCACAUAGACCGUUUUCACUGCUCAAGCUGCUGCCUACAAAACAGGAGAUGCCAAGCCAUGCACAGAAAUUCACCAAAAUGCACAGAUUCACCUAUCAAUAUACAUACUUGCCUCACAACUCACACAAACACCACCGAGCACUGAGACUCACCCUAAAUGUACAGACAAGCCCUUCAGGGCACAGACUUACUCUGUAACAUACUAAAUCACAUCCCCCAUACUUAGAUGUGCCUUAUGAUUCACAGUGAUGCGUGUAAACACAUAGAUUGCUUCCACAAUGCACAGAAUUGCAUCAUAACACAGACUUACUCUACAGUGCAAAACUGACAGUGCACAUAAACAUUUCCCAGUCGGCUAGACACACAACACACAUAUUACUCCUACAAUGUAAAGAUUUCCAUCACGGUGGACAGACGUGCUUUUCCAUGCUGUUGAGCUACAACUCUGGCCUACAACAACAGAAAUACAGCUUGUGUAAUAGUUACCAGCAAGGCCUCUAGACCCAUACUAACUGGGUUUGAAUCAAGGUCCCGUCCCUUGCUGAUUGUAUCACCUUGGGAGGAGAUGGAAGAUUGAGAGCAGAGUGCAAGAAUGGGAAGAGGGCUUCGUGCCCUGUGCACGUUUGCCACCUAGUGACCAAACUGAAUGGUGUGCUUCUCACCUCAGCGUGAUAGCCUGACCUUGACUCCUGAGUUCCACGAUCGCUUCACAACUGCAAGUCACCAUCAUACAAAAUUUGAGUUUCCCUAAGUCCGCGCCUUUGAGAGCUUUGGAACGAUAUGCAAGUUCAAGUCACCAUCCUGUUUCUUGCUACCUCCUGUGAGAAGACCAACAUUUGGGUUACACUUGUUUCUACUCUUGUUCUUCUGCUUGUUAUUGUUGCCUCUGCAGCCAUUGAUCACACACGUGUUGUCAUACAAAAACUGGUUAGCCUUUUUAUUUGUCUUGUGAAUUUUAUCAUUUGGUUCUUAAGUAUUACAAAUUAAUAUUGUGUACUCUCAUUGAUAUACAACUUGCAGUCAUUGUAAAUAUGCGUGAGUUAGGGGUGAGAAUGGCAUGCAAGCAAAAGAACAAGGAGAGGGAUGAUAGAGAUGCAAGAAGAGUAAAGAGGGCAAGAAAGUUUAUGUUAAUAGCGAACACAAUGAAAGUUCUUUAAAUGCUUGAUAAUGGUGAAAGCAACACUUCCUAGGGCAUAUUUUUGGUGUUAAUGAACCUACACAUCAUACAAUAAAGAAAAUUGAGAAAGCAGUUGGGGCCAGUGAAUCGGGGGCACACAAGAAUCACUGAGAAAAUCAUACACAACUCAAAAUGCCACAAUAGGGAAAAUAUAAAGAGAUUUGCACUUGUGGCUUCUAAAACAGAGAAGGUUGAAUAGGUCUCUUUCUGUGUGUAAAAUCUGCCAGUGAGCAUCACAAAAAUGCAAAUUUAAAUUUCAAUCUGGAUGGAAAGUUAUAAAAUUCAUUGCAAGUAAUGGGUGGUUGGGUAGGUUUAAGAAAUGCCAGGUGGGUGGAUCACUUGAGGUCUGGAGUUUGCAACUAGCCUGGCCAACAUGGUGAAACCUUGUCUCUACUAAAAAUACAAAAAUUAGCCAGGAUUGGUGGCGGGUACCUGUAAUCUCAGCUACUCAGGAGGCUGAGGCAGGAGAAUCGCUUGAACCUAGGAGGCAGAGGUUGCAGUGAGCUGAGAUCGUGCCAUCGCACUCCAGCCUGGGUGACGAGAGCAAAGCUCUGUCUCAAAAAAAGAAAAGAAGAGAAGAGAAAAGAGAAGAGAAGAAAGAAGAGAAGAGAAGAGAAGAGAAGCUGUGGCCUGUAAUGAAAAGAAGUGGAGAAGUGACUGUCAGAGGAAGCAGAUUAAGGAGCUGCCGGAGAGUAUCCUGAAUACCUGAAGAAGACGAUUGAGGACAAUGGCAAUUUGCCUGAGCAGGUUGUCAGUGCUGCUGAAACUCUGGAAGCAAAUGCCUACUUGCACAUCUAUUGCAAAGCAUGAGAAAAGGACCAGAGGCUUCAAGCCUGGAAAAGACAAACUCAAAGUUCUGCUUUGUUCCAGUGUGUUCUGAUUAAACCCAUGUUGCUUUACAGAUUCCAAAAUUGUUACCUUCUUUAAAGAGAAAGCCAGAAACACUUUUCUGUGUACAUGAAGGGAAACCAUGAAAUAUGGAUCACUGAGAAACUCUUUUUGAACUGGUCUUUGAAGUGUUUUGUUCUGAGGUUAAAUAACAUUUAAAUGAAAAAAAAAUCUUGACUUCACAGUGUUGUGAUUCUGGACACUGCUCCUACAGACAAAAAUGCAGUCAUAAAUGCUGCUCCUUGUGUUCAAGUCAUCUCCAUUACCCCCAGUACGACUCCACUCCUUCAACUCUUGCAUCUGAGAGUGCUAGCGAUGUACUGUGCUCUGCAUGUAUUUUGACUACCUGAAGAUCUUAUCAGAGACACCAGAACUUUACCAUGAAAGUGGCUUGGCAACAUUUCUCCGUUUGUAAUGCUUUAACAGGUGUAGAAGAAUCAGUGAGACAAAUAAAACAAUCAAUACUUAAUGAAGUCUGGCAGAAAUUUUGGAAUGAGGUUGUGACUGAUUUGGAAGGUUUCCUUCCAGUGGUAGAAGAAAUUGAAAAUAUUGUAACAUCUGCAAACCAUUUGAAUAGUGAAGGCCUUGAAGACAUUGAGUUAAGUGACAUUACUGAAUUGUUAGACUCUCACCUUCAAAAGAUAGUUGAGAAAUAUUUUGGAGAUGUGAUCACAUCAAAAGGCAAUAGAAGAAGCCAGCAUAGGUUAACAUCCAGAACUCUAAGAAUGUUCAAGUAUCUACUCCACAAAUGAAAUUGUCACAAUGAUUCAAAAGAAAGAGAUCCUUUGGUGGGCUACAUAUUGACUUUCAGGUAAGGCUUAGAUGAUUACUUACAAUCCUAUAAAGCAGUAGUAAUAAACUUCCAAACAAACACCGAUAAGUAUUUUCUCUCUGCUUACUUGACAGGGGAGAAGAGGUUGACAUUAGGCCAUGUCAUUCAAACCCGUUCUGCAAACAGGAAAACAGGAAGUAGAAACGCCGCACACAGAUAGUUAAACCUUGGGAUUCAGACUCUGAUGGCUCUGAUGAUAUGGUGAUUUGUGUGCUGGGGAUGAAAGAGGAGCAGAAGACUGAGCUUACAUCUCUUCAGACGAAAUGCAAUUUUCUCUAUUCUUUCCCUGUUACUAUUGUUACGACCAAGCAUUUUCAUUGAUCCAUUAUCAUCUUCAUCUUGAGAUCACAAAGGAAGUUAAUUGCCUGAUAUCCACUCUUGUUAAUAUAAAAUAUCAAUGAUAUUUAUUUUAUUGUUUUAGUUUGGUGAACAAACUGAUUGUCUAGGCUUUCAUAAUACUCAUGUCCUUGCCUCAUUUUUUCCUAAAAAGUCUUAAAUUCCUCCAACAUGGGUACUCUGAGAGUUUCGGGAACUCAACUAUAGCAUUUAAGGAGUGGGCUGCUACUGUACUUGGCUGGAUAAUUUGAUUUUGUACUCCUGAAAUUUGUUUUAAUUCUGAUUAAGCCUAACUUGCGAUCUCACCAGAAAGGAUUAGUUUGGUAUAAGUUAAAUUAAUUUCUUUUCCAGCAAUUGUAUAUGUUAGCUAUUGGCUGAUCCUGAAAAGCAGUAUAUUUAUGUUAAAUUUCCAGAUUUCCUUUGGUAGCUAAUCAAGGAGGAACAGCUGCUAGAGUUCAUUUUCAUAGAUUCUUUCUGUUCUCAUAUCUGGCCUCCUCAGUGAUUUGAAGAAUUGAAUAUCCUCCAAAAAAUGGAUAUUAUUACCUCCUGUUCUCUGAUGGUGAUGGAGACUUCAUUCUCAGAUUGUUUUUAAAUUCCUUUCAUAAUUCCAUAUAUUUACUUCAUUUGAUUCAAUUGUGUUACAAAAGUUAUUGUCAUGGUUGUUUUAAUUUUGGAUGUUUGGAAUUUUCCAGGCAGAUUUAACAGAGGAAAAAAAACCACAAAGCCAGAGAUACGACGCUGUUAUCUUGUUCUAAGAAUUUUGGGCAAAGGCAUAGGCUGAACCUGCCUGUUCUUUUGGCUGCUUUACACAUUCCCAACUGAUGUCCAUUUUGAACUCAGUUGGACAGUUAUUCUGGGGAAUAGAGAGGAAGUCCAAAUAACAUCGCUGUUGUUUCUGUCUUAAUUGCUGUUUGUGCCGGAUUCACAGCACUGGCCUCAUCAUUAUAUCUGAUAAUGAUGCACAGAAAACCUGAAUAGAGAAAAGAAGAAAGAUAAUUCAUUGGCAUGUGCUUGCCAAAAAGAGACUUUAUAUAACUUGAGAAAGCAUAAAGACAACCUGGAAUGAGGAAAUGUAUGUACAGUAAUGAAAAAAAAAUGCUUUAAACAGCUGUGUCAAAAACUGACAUCAGAGAGUAAAUUGAAUUUGGUUUUGUAGGAAGCAGGAAGCAAGCCCACUCAAACGUUGAAAUUUGGCAUGAGGGAGUCCAGUAACUUUCUCCUCAAUCUGUGAACUAUAUGUG